rnacentral:rRNA from 1 species
AGAGUUUGAUCCUGGCUCAGGAUGAACGCUAGCGGCAGGCUUAACACAUGCAAGUCGAGGGGCAGCGAGGGUAGCAAUACCUGUCGGCGACCGGCGCAAGGGUGCGUAACGCGUGAGCAACAUGCCCGUAUCAGGGGGAUAAUCCAGGGAAACUUGGUCUAAUACCCCAUAGUAAUAUUUUCAGGCAUCUGGGGAUAUUUAAAGCUUUGGUGGAUACGGAUUGGCUCGCGUGACAUUAGCUGGAUGGUAGGGUAACGGCCUACCAUGGCUACGAUGUCUAGGGGUUCUGAGAGGAAGAUCCCCCACACUGGAACUGAGACACGGUCCAGACUCCUACGGGAGGCAGCAGUGAGGAAUAUUGGACAAUGGAUGGAAAUCUGAUCCAGCCAUGCCGCGUGCAGGAAGACGGCCCUAUGGGUUGUAAACUGCUUUUAUACGGGAGCAAUAAGGUCUAUGCGUAGGCCGAUGAGAGUACCGUAGGAAUAAGCACCGGCUAACUCCGUGCCAGCAGCCGCGGUAAUACGGAGGGUGCAAGCGUUAUCCGGAUUUAUUGGGUUUAAAGGGUGCGUAGGCGGUCUAUUAAGUCAGCGGUGAAAGUUUUCAGCUUAACUGGAAAAAUGCCGUUGAUACUGAUAGGCUAGAAUAUGGUUGCUGUGGGUGGAAUGUGUGGUGUAGCGGUGAAAUGCUUAGAUAUCACACAGAAUAUCAAUUGCGAAGGCAGCUCACAAAGCCAUUAUUGACGCUGAGGCACGAAAGUGUGGGGAUCAAACAGGAUUAGAUACCCUGGUAGUCCACACCGUAAACGAUGAUAACUCGCUGUCGGCGAUAAACAGUCGGUAGCCAAGCGAAAGCGAUAAGUUAUCCACCUGGGGAGUACGACCGCAAGGUUGAAACUCAAAGGAAUUGACGGGGGCCCGCACAAGCGGAGGAACAUGUGGUUUAAUUCGAUGAUACGCGAGGAACCUUACCCGGGCUCGAACGGUGCAGGAAUAUGUCAGAGAUGUCAUAGCUAGCAAUAGUCUGUAUCGAGGUGCUGCAUGGUUGUCGUAGGCUCGUGUCGUGAGAUGUUGGGUUAAGUCCCGCAACGAGCGCAACCCUUGCCAUUAGUUGCUACGAAAGGGCACUCUAAUGGGACUGCCGGUGACAAACCGGAGGAAGGUGGGGAUGACGUCAAGUCCUCAUGGCCCUUAUAGGUGGGGCUACACACGUCAUACAAUGGCUGGUACAAAGGGUUGCCAACCCGCGAGGGGGAGCUAAUCCCACAAAGCCAGUCGUAGUCCGGAUCGUAGUCUGCAACUCGACUACGUGAAGUCGGAAUCGCUAGUAAUCGUGGAUCAGAAUGUCACGGUGAAUACGUUCCCGGGUCUUGUACACACCGCCCGUCACACCAUGGGAGCGGGUUCUGCCAGAAGUAGUUAGCCUAACCGCAAGGAGGGCGAUUACCACGGCAGGGUUCGUGACUGGGGUGAAGUCGUAACAAGGUAACC